rnacentral:rRNA from 1 species
AACGCUGGCGGCAGGCUUAAUACAUGCAGUCGAACGGUAAGGCCGAGUGUAGCAAUACACGAGGUACACGAGUGGCGCACGGGUGCGUAACGCGUAUGCAACCUGCCCCCAACCGGGACAAAACAGCUGGAAACGGCUGCUAAUAUCCCAUGGUCAUUGCGAUUAGUUCAUCCUUCCUUAUGUAAAGAUUCAUUGGUUGGGGAUGGGCAUGCGUAUUAUUAGGUAGUUGGCGGGGUAACGGCCCACCAAGCCGACGAUGAUUAUGGGUCCUGAGAGGGUUAACCCCCACACUGGAACUGAGACACGGCCCAGACUCCUACGGGAGGCAGCAGUGGGGAAUAUUGGGCAAUGGGCGAAAGCCUGACCAGCAACGCCGCGUGAAGGAGACGGUCUUCGGAUUGUAACUUCUUUGAUUGGGAGACAAAUGACCUACCCAAGACAGUCACGGCUACUACGUGCAGCAGCGCGUAUACGUAGGUGACAGCGUAUCGAUUACUGGCGUAGGCUGUAGCGCUGCAGUCAAUGAUUCCGCACGGCCGUCUCGACUUAGCUGGGGCGGAGGGUGGAUCUGGAGCGUUGCUAUUAGAACCGGGAUCUCGAUCUCGAGGGAAAUCCGCCAAUGGUUCCUUUAUCCGGCUUAGCCUAUCUAUAUUCUCUACAUACUCAUA